rnacentral:rRNA from 1 species
CCUACGGGAGGCAGCAGUAAGGAAUAUUGGUCAAUGGACGAAAGUCUGAACCAGCCAUGCCGCGUGAAGGAUGAAGGUCCUCUGGAUUGUAAACUUCUUUUAUCUGGGACGAAAAAAGGGCUUUCUAGCUCACUUGACGGUACCAGAGGAAUAAGCACCGGCUAACUCCGUGCCAGCAGCCGCGGUAAUACGGAGGGUGCAAGCGUUAUCCGGAUUUACUGGGUUUAAAGGGAGCGUAGGUGGGCAGGUAAGUCAGUGGUGAAAUCUCUGGGCUUAACCCGGAAACUGCCAUUGAUACUAUCUGUCUUGAAUAUCCUGGAGGUAAGCGGAAUAUGUCAUGUAGCGGUGAAAUGCUUAGAUAUGACAUAGAACACCCAUUGCGAAGGCAGCUUACUACGGGAUUAUUGACACUGAGGCUCGAAAGCGUGGGGAUCAAACAGGAUUAGAUACCCUGGUAGUCCACGCCCUAAACGAUGGAUACUCGACAUCAGCGAUACACUGUUGGUGUCUGNGCGAAGANAUAAGUAUCCACCNCGGAGACGACGACGAGUAGUAACGUAAAGUAAGUAGACGCGUGAGAGAGACGAGGACGACGACGAGGGAGGAGG